rnacentral:rRNA from 1 species
AUUGAACGCUGGCGGCAUGCCUUACACAUGCAAGUCGAACGGCAGCACGGGUGUUUGCACCUGUUGGCGAGUGGCGAACGGGUGAGUAAUACAUCGGAACAUGUCCUGUAGUGGGGGAUAGCCCGGCGAAAGCCGGAUUAACACCGCAUACGAUCCACGGAUGAAAGCGGGGGACCUUCGGGCCUCGCGCUAUAGGGUUGGCCGAUGGCUGAUUAGCUAGUUGGUGGGGUAAAGGCCUACCAAGGCGACGAUCAGUAGCUGGUCUGAGAGGACGAUCAGCCACACUGGGACUGAGACACGGCCCAGACUCCUACGGGAGGCAGCAGUGGGGAAUUUUGGACAAUGGGCGAAAGCCUGAUCCAGCAAUGCCGCGUGUGUGAAGAAGGCCUUCGGGUUGUAAAGCACUUUUGUCCGGAAAGAAAUCCUUGGCCCUAAUACGGUCGGGGGAUGACGGUACCGGAAGAAUAAGCACCGGCUAACUACGUG